rnacentral:rRNA from 1 species
CCUACGGGGGGCAGCAGUGAGGAAUAUUGGUCAAUGGACGAGAGUCUGAACCAGCCAAGUAGCGUGCAGGAUGACUGCCCUAUGGGUUGUAAACUUCUUUUAUGCAGGAAUAAAACGCGGCACGUGUGACUUUUUGCAUGUACUUCAUGAAUAAGGAUCGGCUAAUUCCGUGCCAGCAGCCGCGGUAAUACGGAGGAUCCGAGCGUUAUCCGGAUUUAUUGGGUUUAAAGGGAGCGUAGACGGGAUGUUAAGUCUGUUGUGAAAGGCUGCGGCUCAACCAUGGCAUUGCAAUGGGUACUGGCAUUCUUGAGUACACGUGAGGUAUGCGGAAUUCGUGGUGUAGCGGUGAAAUGCUUAGAUAUCACGAAGAACUCCGAUUGCGAAGGCAGCAUACGAAAGUGCUACUGACACUGAUGCUCGAAAGUGUGGGUAUCGAACAGGAUUAGAUACCCGUGUAGUC